CUGUUGCGAGUCAGUUGGUGAGAAAUGGAAGCUGGCCAGGUAUCCGGAUUUCAUUCCAAGUUCAUGACUUCAGAACACACAAUUCUAAUACUCGCUCUGUUCCUAAAACCACGACGAGUAUUUUGGAACGGAGGAGCAGAAAAAUACUCUGUUGACUUAAGUGGAAUCACUAUGUAAUCUGCAGCAGUACUACCUUAGUCUGAUUAGACCUUGCAUGUAUCAGAGAACUACAUUAAUUAAAGGGUAGCAGUUAUUACGGCCUGCUGUUCAUGGAA